UGUAGGAUAGGUGGGAGGCUUGGAAGUGUGGACGCCAGUCUGCAUGGAGCCGACCUUGAAAUACCACCCUUUAAUGUUUGAUGUUCUAACGUUGACCCGUAAUCCGGGUUGCGGACAGUGUCUGGUGGGUAGUUUGACUGGGGCGGUCUCCUCCUAAAGAGUAACGGAGGAGCACGAAGGUUGGCUAAUCCUGGUCGGACAUCAGGAGGUUAGUGCAAUGGCAUAAGCCAGCUUGACUGCGAGCGUGACGGCGCGAGCAGGUGCGAAAGCAGGUCAUAGUGAUCCGGUGGUUCUGAAUGGAAGGGCCAUCGCUCAACGGAUAAAAGGUACUCCGGGGAUAACAGGCUGAUACCGCCCAAGAGUUCAUAUCGACGGCGGUGUUUGGCACCUCGAUGUCGGCUCAUCACAUCCUGGGGCUGAAGUAGGUCCCAAGGGUAUGGCUGUUCGCCAUUUAAAGUGGUACGCGAGCUGGGUUUAGAACGUCGUGAGACAGUUCGGUCCCUAUCUGCCGUGGGCGCUGGAGAACUGAGGGGGGCUGCUCCUAGUACGAGAGGACCGGAGUGGACGCAUCACUGGUGUUCGGGUUGUCAUGCCAAUGGCACUGCCCGGUAGCUAAAUGCGGAAGAGAUAAGUGCUGAAAGCAUCUAAGCACGAAACUUGCCCCGAGAUGAGUUCUCCCUGACCCUUUAAGGGUCCUGAAGGAACGUUGAAGACGACGACGUUGAUAGGCCGGGUGUGUAAGCGCAGCGAUGCGUUGAGCUAACCGGUACUAAUGAACCGUGAG
rnacentral:rRNA from 1 species